GUGGGGAAUAUUGGACAAUGGGCGCAAGCCUGAUCCAGCCAUGCCGCGUGAGUGAUGAAGGCCUUAGGGUUGUAAAGCUCUUUUGUCCGGGAAGAUAAUGACUGUACCGGAAGAAUAAGCCCCGGCUAACUUCGUGCCAGCAGCCGCGGUAAUACGAAGGGGGCUGCGUUGUUCGGAAUCACUGGGCGUAAAGCGCACGUAGGCGGACCAUUAAGUCAGGGGUGAAAGCCUGGAGCUCAACUCCAGAACUGCCUUUGAUACUGAUGGUCUCGAGUAUGGAAGAGGUUGGUGGAACUGCGAGUGUAGAGGUGAAAUUCGUAGAUAUUCGCAAGAACACCGGUGGCGAAGGCGGCCAACUGGUCCAUUACUGACGCUGAGGUGCGAAAGCGUGGGGAGCAAACAGGAUUAGAAACCCUUGUAGUCC
rnacentral:rRNA from 1 species